rnacentral:rRNA from 1 species
UACAUAGGGUGCAAGCGUUGUCCGGAUUUAUUGGGCGUAAAGAGCGCGUAGGCGGUAAAUUAAGUUGGAUUUGAAAGGCUGUGGCUCAACCAUGGUUUGGGUCCAAAACUGAUUUACUAGAGAGUAGAAGAGGGAAGUAGAAUUUACGGUGUAGCGGUGAAAUGCGUAGAUAUCGUAAGGAAUACCAGUGGCGAAGGCGGCUUCCUGGACUACUUCUGACGCUGAGGCGCGAAAGCGUGGGUAGCAAACAGG